UGUUUUUGGUAGUUGGUAGAGCAUGAGACUCUUAAUCUCAGGAUUGUGGGUUUGAGCCCCAUGCUGGGCAC